CCUACGGGAGGCAGCAGUGGGGAAUAUUGCGCAAUGGGCGAAAGCCUGACGCAGCGACGCCGCGUGAGGGAUGAAGGUCUUCGGAUCGUAAACCUCUGUCAGCAGGGAAGAACGGUCACUGUGCUAAUCAGCAGUGAAUUGACGGUACCUGCAAAGGAAGCACCGGCUAACUCCGUGCCAGCAGCCGCGGUAAUACGGAGGGUGCGGGCGUUAGUCGGAAUUCCUGGGCGUAAAGCCCUCGUAGGCGGUAUGUCAAGUCACGGGUGAAAUCCCCGCGCUCAACGUGGGAAACGCCUUUGAAACUGGCAAACUUGAGUGUGUGAGAGGAUAGUGGAAUUCCAGGUGUAGGAGUGAAAUCCGUAGAUAUCUGGAGGAACAUCAGUGGCGAAGGCGACUAUCUGGCACAUAACUGACGCUGAGGAGCGAAAGCGUGGGUAGCAAACAGGAUUAGAUACCCCUGUAGUC
rnacentral:rRNA from 1 species